UAGGAACCUAGGUGUGCUAUUCUUACCUUGCAAGUUUCUAGCAUUUGUAAAACUGCAUUUUUAUAUCUCAAAAUAUAUCUAAAAUAUGGCCUAUACUAGCCAUGUCAAUUGUAGAAAAGUUAAUCCAUGCAUUUAUGACUUCAAGGUUAGAUUAUUGUAAUGCUUUAUUGGGUGGUUGUUCUGCACGCUUGGUAAACAAACUACAGCUAGUCCAAAAUGCAGCAGCAAGAGUUCUUACUAGAACCAGGAAGUAUGACCAUAUUAGCCCGGUCCUGUCCACACUGCACUGGCUCCCUAUCAAACAUCGUAUAGAUUUUAAAAUAUUGCUUAUUACUUAUAAAGCCCUGAAUGGUUUAGCACCUCAGUAUUUGAAUGAGCUCCUUUUACAUUAUACUCCUCUACGUCCGCUACGUUCUCAAAACUCAGGCAAUUUGAUAAUACCUAGAAUAUCAAAAUCAACUGCGGGCGGCAGAUCCUUUUCCUAUUUGGUGCCUAAACUCUGGAAUAACCUACCUAACAUUGUUCGGGAGGCAGACACACUCUUGCAGUUUAAAUCUAGAUUAAAGACCCAUCUCUUUAACCUGGCAUACACAUAACAUACUAAUAUGCUUUUAAUAUCCAAAUCCGUUAAAUUAUUUUUAGGCUGCAUUAAUUAGGUAAACCGGAACCGGAAACACUUCACAUAACACCGUACUUUCUACAUCAUUAGAAGAAUGGCAUCUACGCUAAUAUUUGUCUGUUUCUCUCUUGUUCCGAGGUCACCGUGGCCACCAGAUCCAGUCUUUUUCCAGAUCAGAGGGUCACUGCAGUCGCCUGGAUCCAGUACGUAUCCAGACCAGAUGGUGGAUCAGCACCUAGAAAGGACCUCUACUGCCCUGAAAGACAGCGGAGACCAGGACAACUGAAGCCCCAGAUACAGAUCCCCUGUAAAGACCUUGUCUCAGAGGAUCACCAGGACAAGACCACAGGAAACAGAUGAUUCUUCUGCACAAUUUGACUUUGCUGCAGCCUGGAAUUGAACUACUGGUUUCGUCUGGUCAGAGGAGAACUGGCCCCCCAACUGAGCCUGGUUUCUCCCAAGGUUUUUUUCUCCAUUCUGUCACCGAUGGAGUUUCGGUUCCUUGCCGCUGUCGCCUCUGGCUUGCUUAGUUGGGGUCACUUCAUCUACAGCGAUAUCAUUGACUUGAUUUCAAAUAAAUGCACAGACACUAUUUAAACUGAACAGAGAUGACAUCACUGAAUUCAAUUAUGAACUGCCUUUAACUAUCAUUUUGCAUUAUUGAGACACUGUUUUCCAAAUGAAUGUUGUUCAGUGCUUUGACGCAAUGUAUUUUGUUUAAAGCACUAUAUAAAUAAAGGUGAUUGAUUGAU